ACUUGAUGAUGUGGGAAUUUAUGCAAAAGGUCCCUAAAACGCUCCCAUGUCUCGAAAAAGUGCUCACUAUCUAUCUGUGAGAAACUGGUGUUAGUAUUCCUAAGCU